ensembl:lncRNA
GAUACAUGUGUGUGUAUAUAUGUAUAUAGCUGAGUCACUUCAUUGUACAGCAGAAACUAACACAACACUGUAAAGCAACAAUAAAAAUUUUAAAAUAGUAUCAAAACCUCAGUAUCUCAAACAACUGACAUUUAUUUUCUCACAGUUCUAAAGGCUGGAAGAUCAAGGUGUGAGUCCAGUUGGUUCUUUGUUGGGGGGUGAGAAGGAGAAUUUGUUCCAUGCCUUUUUCCUAGCUUCUGGUGGUUUGCUGGCAGUCUGACAUUCCUUGGCUUUUGCUGCAUCACCCCAAUCUCUGCCUUCAUCUCCAUAUGGCAUUCUCCCUGUGUAUGUCUGUGCCCAAAUUUCUUUUUUAUAUAGACACCAGUCAUAUUGCAUUAGAGGCUCACCCUACUGCAGUAUGACCUUGUCUUAUAUUUGUAAUGACCCUACUUCCAAAUAAGGUCACAUUCUGAGGUCCUAGGGAUUAGAACUUCACCAUGUGAAUUUUGAGGGACACAACUGAACUCCUAACAGAUGUUUAGCAUGAGAAAGAAAAGAAAGGAGGGAGAGAGAGAAGGAGCAGUCCCCAACAUCCAGAAGUUGUCCUGGCACCCACAGGACUUGAAGACUCUGAUCUGCUUGGUGGUGAAUAUCCCAGAGUGAGGUGUCUGAGCUCUUUGCUGUCUAAGAAGGUGAUGUAAUGAUGGAAGCAGAGUUGGAAAAGGAGAUUUGACAGCUGAAACAGAGAGAAGAGAGAUCAGAGAGACAUUUGAAGAUGAAACGCUGCUGGCUUUGAAGAUGGAGGAAGGGGCCAUGAACCAAGGACUGCAGACAGCCUCUAAAACUGGAAAAUGAAAGGAAGUGCAUUUUCCUGGAGCUUCCUGAAGGGAAGUAGCUCUGCCGAAAACUUGACUUUAUCUCUGUAAGACUCAAUUUUAGGUCUCUGACCUAUAGAAGUGUACAAUAAUAAAUUAGUGUUGUUUUACAAUACCAAGAUUUUAGUGAUUUGUUAUAGGAGAUGAACAGUGUCCUGGCUUGUGAUGUCUCUAUCUGAUUGUCAGUGCACAUCCCAGGAUGAGAACUCCAUUAUCUGUCGGUGAAUGUGUGUCAGAUGGUGUGAGGGUGUGCCCCCAAAUUUUUGGUCUCUGAGCUGUUUGUUCCUGUAUGUCUCAGAAUGUGAGGUCUCCAAUCUGUUUGUAUGUUUGUGUCCUAGGAUAUGAGGUCUUUGAGCUGAUUCAGGAUGUGUGUCCAGUACUUGAGGUCUUUUUUUCACAGGGGGGUCGUGCCACUUAUGGGAUCUUAGUUCCCUGACCAGGGAUUGAACCUGGGCUUACAGCAGUAAAAGCACAAAACCUAUAACCAUUGGACCGUCAGGGAAUGCCUAUAGUAUAUGAGCUCUUUAAUAACAUAUCUGGGGUUUGCAUUCCAGGUUAUUAGGUCUCUGGUGUAUUUCAGAGGUAUUUCUGAUGUUAAUGAACUUUCUGCUUUUCUCAGUGAUAUAUCUACCAUAAUAUGAAGUCUCGAACCUAUUUUGUUAUGAAUAUCUAGAGUGCGAGAUUUCAAAGAGCUCACUGUGAGUUUAUGUCGCUUGGCUUGAAUCCUCUGAUCUCUUGUGAGUACCUAUGCUUGGCUUUGAGCUCUCUGAUCUCUUUGUGGGUAUAUGUCACAAGAUAUUUGU